rnacentral:rRNA from 1 species
UACAGAGGUCUCAAGCGUUGUUCGGAUUCAUUGGGCGUAAAGGGUGUGUAGGGGGCUCCGUAAGUCGGGGGUGAAAUUUCGGAGCUUAACUCCGAAACUGCAUUCGAUACUGCGGUGCUUGAGGACUGGAGAGGAGACUGGAAUUCAUGGUGUAGCGGUGAAAUGCGUAGAGAUCAUGAGGAAGACCAGUGGCGAAGGCGGGUCUCUGGACAGUUCCUGACACUGAGACACGAAGGCCAGGGGAGCAAACGGG